AUAAAAUCCAGGUAAUGUCAAAUAAGAUAAAUCAUCCAUUUAAAUUAAGAAUUUUCAAGGGUCUGCUUUUCGUGUUCUUAAAAGAAAAAAAUAUCCUGGUCAUUUCAAGUGGGUGACUGUUAAAUAUUGGGAGAGAAUCAAAAUAUCUUCUCUGGUUUAAGAAGGGAAAAACAAGAGUAAAGAAUAAAGUAAAAUUACCAAUCAAUUAAUUAAAAUCUUUUAAAUCACACAAGAUUCCCUAACUACUAAUGAUUCAUGGCACAGAGACUCCAAUGGGUCUAUUUUCAAAGUUUUGAUGAUUAUUUAAAGAAGUGAGAUUUCUUAAAUUAUUCUGUGAGAUUUUUUCUCUGAGAUUAUUAAGCAAAAGGAAUAAAAAUUAUGGUAGUGGAGCAACUGGAGGCAAGAAAUAAUACAAUAAUAGAACUUUAUCUUCUGCUAGCACCCCUUUUUCCUUUUCUAACACAGAGAUGGAGGCAUAUGGAGUGAAAAUCAUCUAGACUCCCAAACACCGAUUGAAAGAAGAGAUUGAACUACCUCACUGACAUUCAUGCUAUAAGACAGAAGUCUAUGAAUCUUCUAGAUCACUUCACCUUUUGGGUUCAUUAUGAAGAAUCAUUAUGGCUUUCACCUCCUUCAUUGAAGAGAGGUUUUCUAACUUCCUGGGAUAAAUCAAAGCUGCCUGCCUUGUCUUUCUGCCAGCCAGCUUAUGUUCCUACGACGUCCAGGUAUUCUGCAAGCAAGGGGACUAUUUCCUGCAAAAUAAAAAAGUGAUGGAAUUUUACUCACACAAUCGCGAUACCUUUUUAUUCAGCUCUACAAAUUAUCAUGUGAUCCUCUUUAAUGGUUUUUCUGAAGUAAUAUCUGAAGACAUUUGAUAACUUCAAGUAGUUUUUAAGGCUGAAUGGCAAAGAAAUAUGGAUAAUUGAAUAAAUAAACACAGAGGGAUAGCUCUUUGGGUAUGAGAGCCUCUUGAUAUCACUUAAAGGAAUGGAAUGAUAUAUGUCACUAAGGCAAUAUAUGAAUGUAAUAUGCAGAAACUAACAACUGAUUACAUAAAAUUGUCAUCCUAAACUAUGGAUUAUUGUUCUGCUGGUGAAUGCUUUAUAGGGUUAUUUCUAAGAUUGGAUUUGGACACAUUUUAAAUAUAUAAUCUCUGAAUGCCUUUUCCCACCUCAGUAUAUUAAGGUGUUUCUUUUAAUCAUGAAUGCACAGUAAAUAGAGAUUCAUAGAUCAUC
rnacentral:lncRNA from 1 species